GCGCUAUGGAGCCAUUUUGCAUUUUCUUGUUUGGGCGACUUCGGAAUAUCAAAUUUUUCACCAGGCCCGGUCGUCCUGCCAAAUUUCAUGAGUUUUCGCCAGUGGGAAGUGGGCCAUUUUCCAGUUCAAAGGGGAGGAAAAAUAAUAACUAGGGCCCCGUUGGGGCACUGGCGGGCCCGAGCCGUGUCGCGCCCCCUCCCCAACGCGAUCGCCUCCCCGUCCCAUUCUCUUCCUCUGGCCAUCGCCCUCUCUGGUAACGCCCAUCACUACAAAGACCCUUAUCCUUCAUCGGCGUUUGUGGUUCUUCCCGCCAGUGUGUGUCCAACGCUUUUGCGCGUUGAAAGGUUAGGGUCUCCACUAAAGGUCAGAGGUCAAAUAACAUUUGUAUCUCAAACUGUGACGUCACAGUCAGGGUCCAAAGAUGGUGUGCGCAACUGUCUUUGGUCAUUUCCCAUUAUAAUGAAUGGGAGGCACAGUCUCUACCAAAACGCUCGCUGCAGAAAAACUACGUGUCCUUUUUGAAAAAAGUCUGGACCAUGAGUGAGGGCACAAACACAGCUAGUAUAUAUCCAAAUGGCAAGUUGCUCCUCCUUUCGGUUUUGCCGAGAGAGCGAUGCGUUUGAGCCAUUGAGCGAUGGGCAGGAAAAACUUGACUUUUUCUCCUGCCAUGGGGGGCGCUCUUUUGGGGAGAAAAAAUUCCUUCACAAAUGUGUUGAUGGCUGGACAUUGCAUCAUCCUAGAAAACUUGGAGGCCAGUGAGGACAAAAAUAAAAAGUUAUAAGACUUUUAAAAAUGUGGAUAUUUGGGUCCUCUUUGGCGCCCCCUAGAACGUAAACUGUGGGGUGCAGCGUCAUGAUUUGUACAACUUUGAAUGGCCAUGGGGUGUAGAUUGACCUGAGCAAAUUUGAAGCCGAUGGGACAAAAGAUUUAGGAGGAGUUAGCCACAUUCCAAUGUGUGCGAAUCGGCAAAAAAUGCGAAAUAGCCCUUUAACCGUACAUUGAACAGAUACGCUCGCAUUGACUUUUUCGUAGAUCUUAUUGAGAUACAUGUGUGUGUCAAAUUUUGUGUCAUUUUGACAAAGCGUAAAGGCGUGACAGUCAACAAUGUGUAUUUUCGCCUUAGGAUACAAGAAAAAAUGGACUUUUUUCUCCUGCCAUGGGGGGGGGGGGCGCUCUUUUGGCGAGUAAAAAUUCCUUCACAAAUGUGUUGAUGGCUGGACAUUGCAUCAUCCUAGAGAACUUGGAGGCCAGUGAGGACAAAAAUAAAAAGUUAUAAGACUUUUAAGACUGUGGAUUUUUGGGUUAUCUUUGGCGCCCCCUAGAACGUAAACCGUGGGGUGCAGCGUCAUGAUUUGUACAACUUUUAAUGGCCAUGGGGUGUAGAUUGGCCUGAGCAAAUGUGGUGCCUUUGAAACGAAAGCCUUCGGAGGAGUUAGCCACAUUCCAAUGUGUGCGGAUCGGCAAAAAAUGCGAAAUAGCCCUUUAACCGUACAUUUGACAGAUACGCCCGCACUGACUUUUUUGUAGAUCUUAUUGAGAUACAUGUGUGUGUCAAUUUUUGUGUCAUUUUGCCAAAGCGUACAGGUAUUACACUCAACAAUGUGUAUUUUCACCUUAGGGGACAAGAAAAAAUUGACUUUUUUCUCCUGCCAUGGGGGGGCGCUCUUUUGGGGAGUAAAAAUUCCUUCACAAAUGUGUUGAUGGCUGGACAUUGCAUCAUCCUAGAAAACUUGGAGGCCAGUGAGGGCAAAAAUAAAAAGUUAUAAGACUUUUAAAUAUGUGGAUCUUAGGGUUAUCUUUGGCGCCCCCUAGAACCUAAACCGUGGGGUGCAGCGUCAUGAUUUGAAUAACUUUUAAUGGCCAUGGGGUGUAGAUUGGCCUGAGCAAAUGUGGUGCCGGUGGAACGAAAGCCUUCGGAGGAGUUAGCGAAAUUCCAAUGUGUGCGGAUCGGCAAAAAAUGCGAAAUAACCCUUUAACCGUACAUUUGACAGAUACGCCCGCACUGACUUUUUUGUAGAUCUUAUUGAGAUACAUGUGUGUGUCAAUUUUUGUGUCAAAUGACAAAGCGUACAGGCGUGACAGUCAAUAGUGUGAAUUUUCACCUUAGGGGGCGCUAUGGAGCCAUUUUGCAUUUUAUUGUUUGGGCGACUUCAGAAUAUCGAAUUUUUCACCAGGCCCGGUCGUCCUGCCAAAUUUCAUGAGUUUUCGCCAGUGGGAAGUGGGCCAUUUUCCAGUUCAAAGGGGAGAAAAAAAGAAAGAAAGAAAGAAAAAGAAAGAACUAGGGCCCCGUUGGGGCACUGGCGGGCCCGAGCCGUGUCGCGCCCCCUCCCCAACGCGAUCGCCCUCCCCGUCCCAUUCUCUUCCUCUGGCCAUCGCCCUCUCUGGUAACGCCCAUCACUACAAAGACCCUUAUCCUUCAUCGGCGUUUGUGGUUCUUCCCGCCAGUGUGUGUCCAACGCUUUUGCGCGUUGAAAGGUUAGGGUCUCCACUAAAGGUCAGAGGUCAAAUAACAUUUGUAUCUCAAACUGUGACGUCACAGUCAGGGUCCAAAGAUGGUGUGCGCAACUGUCUUUGGUCAUUUCCCAUUAUAAUGAAUGGGAGGCACAGUCUCUACCAAAACGCUCGCUGCAGAAAAACUACGUGUCCUUUUUGAAAAAAGUCUGGACCAUGAGUGAGGGCACAAACACAGCUAGUAUAUAUCCAAAUGGCAAGUUGCUCCUCCUUUCGGUUUUGCCGAGAGAGCGAUGCGUUUGAGCCAUUGAGCGAUGGGCAGGAAAAACUUGACUUUUUCUCCUGCCAUGGGGGGGCGCUCUUUUGGGGAGAAAAAAUUCCUUCACAAAUGUGUUGAUGGCUGGACAUUGCAUCAUCCUAGAAAACUUGGAGGCCAGUGAGGACAAAAAUAAAAAGUUAUAAGACUUUUAAAAAUGUGGAUAUUUGGGUCCUCUUUGGCGCCCCCUAGAACGUAAACUGUGGGGUGCAGCGUCAUGAUUUGUACAACUUUGAAUGGCCAUGGGGUGUAGAUUGACCUGAGCAAAUUUGAAGCCGAUGGGACAAAAGAUUUAGGAGGAGUUAGCCACAUUCCAAUGUGUGCGAAUCCGCAAAAAAUGCGAAAUAGCCCUUUAACCGUACAUUGAACAGAUACGCUCGCAUUGACUUUUUCGUAGAUCUUAUUGAGAUACAUGUGUGUGUCAAAUUUUGUGUCAUUUUGACAAAGCGUAAAGGCGUGACAGUCAACAAUGUGUAUUUUCGCCUUAGGAUACAAGAAAAAAUGGACUUUUUUCUCCUGCCAUGGGGGGGGCUCUUUUGGCGAGUAAAAAUUCCUUCACAAAUGUGUUGAUGGCUGGACAUUGCAUCAUCCUAGAGAACUUGGAGGCCAGUGAGGACAAAAAUAAAAAGUUAUAAGACUUUUAAGACUGUGGAUUUUUGGGUUAUCUUUGGCGCCCCCUAGAACGUAAACCGUGGGGUGCAGCGUCAUGAUUUGUACAACUUUUAAUGGCCAUGGGGUGUAGAUUGGCCUGAGCAAAUGUGGUGCCUUUGAAACGAAAGCCUUCGGAGGAGUUAGCGAAAUUCCAAUGUGUGCGGAUCGGCAAAAAAUGCGAAAUAGCCCUUUAACCGUACAUUUGACAGAUACGCCCGCACUGACUUUUUUGUAGAUCUUAUUGAGAUACAUGUGUGUGUCAAUUUUUGUGUCAAUAUGACAAAGCUUAAAGGCGUGACAGUCAAUAGUGUGAAUUUUCGCCUUAGGAGACAAGAAAAAAUUGACUUUUUUCUCCUGCCAUGGGGGGGCGCUCUUUUGGCGAGUAAAAAUUCCUUCACAAAUGUGUUGAUGGCUGGACAUUGCAUCAUCCUAGAGAACUUGGAGGCCAGUGAGGACAAAAAUAAAAAGUUAUAAGACUUUUAAGACUGUGGAUUUUUGGGUUAUCUUUGGCGCCCCCUAGAACGUAAACCGUGGGGUGCAGCGUCAUGAUUUGUACAACUUUUAAUGGCCAUGGGGUGUAGAUUGGCCUGAGCAAAUGUGGUGCCGGUGGAACGAAAGCCUUCGGAGGAGUUAGCGAAAUUCCAAUGUGUGCGGAUCGGCAAAAAAUGCAAAAUAACCCUUUAACCGUACAUUUGACAGAUACGCCCGCACUGACUUUUUUGUAGAUCUUAUUGAGAUACAUGUGUGUGUCAAUUUUUGUGUCAAUAUGACAAAGCGUAAAGGCGUGACAGUCAAUAGUGUGAAUUUUCACCUUAGGGGGCGCUAUGGAGCCAUUUUGCAUUUUAUUGUUUGGGCGACUUCAGAAUAUCGAAUUUUUCACCAGGCCCAUUCGUCCUGCCAAAUUUCAUGAGUUUUCGCCAGUGGGAAGUGGGCCAUUUUCCCCUUCAAAGGGGAGGAAAAAUAAGAAGAAAGAAAGAAAGAAAGAAAGAACUAGGGCCCCGUUGGGGCACUGGCGGGCCCGAGCCGUGUCGCACCCCCCCCCCCCCCCAACGCGCUGCCUCCCCGUCCCAUUUGUGUCCUCUGGCCAUCGCCCUCUCUGGUGACGCCCAUCACUGCAAAGACCCUUUUCCUUCAUCGGCGUUUGCUGUUCUUCCUGCCAGUGCGUGUUGCUUUCACUUACACUUGCCACAGCCAGCCUCGUGAGUGCCUAGCCUAUUGGAUAUCACUGUCACCUACACAGGACAGUCAUACUUUGUUUUUUAAUUUCACAUUAAUUUCCUUAUUGUAUAAACGACUGGAAAAAACUUGAGCCCCUGCCCCUGUAUUAUCAUGUGCACGUCCCUGUUCUAGCUCCAAGGUGAAUCUUCACUGCUCAUGUUCUCCUCAGAAGCAGUCACCUCACUCCCCUCAGGUUACUGUACACAUGCACCAACUGCCUGCUUCAGGUUUGGAUGGAGCUUCAUGGUUGUCUUUUGGAGAAAUGAGCAGUCAAGUUGUGUUUGAAAUUUGAUUUUUUUCAGGGGCAAAAGGAAGCCUCUGCAUUCUUGUCAAAUAUGUAAAUAGCAUGUAUUUGCAGGUGCUAAAAAACAGACUCUGAGUGUGUGUGUGUGUGUGUGUGUGUGUGCGUGUGUGUGUGUGUGUCUGUGUGUGUGUGUGUGUGUGUAUCCUGCAGUACUCUGAGAAGAAUAAUAAGCAUAUUUCUGAGGUGAAUUUUGAAGAUUCAUCUGAGAGUUAGGUUUGAUUCGAUUCGAUUGACGCUCCCCAGCGUUCAAGUCACAUGACAUAUUUAACCGGAUGUAGCUGCAAGACGGAGCCUCGUUAAUUCUCUGUUUCAACUUAUCUCAAAAGUGAGGACCUCAACCUAUAUACCAGUUUUUAAAUUGUGUUGAUAGGCCAAAUAAAACCAGAGUUAUGAUAAAUUAUGUCCGUGAUACUUUUUUUCUGCUUAUUUUGAUCACGUUCGGCGCUCGAUCGCGCUGUAUGAGACAGGAAAACAUAGCAUGCACACAUUAGCGACAGGUCUUACAGGCGGAAAAGGCUUGCCUAAAGAAAAAAAAAACACACCACAACAUCUCUCCUAUUGGUGGAAAACUUCACCACAACAACCAAUCCAAAAUUAUAUGGUGACUGAUUGACAAGGGGCGGGCGCUUACGUUCUUCCUGCAACAUGAGAAGGGAGGGAGGGACUCUCAGCAGGGAUGCAGUCUGGGACACGUAGUUGCAAACCUAGCGACUUUGUUGUUAGAUUCAAUUACUUUUCAGACCCCCUAACGACUUUAGAAAGAAAGGGACUUUUAUCGACUUCUUCUGGAGUUUAGAGACUCUGACAUGAAGCAGGCUUUCCUUACUGAGGAGUUAGCAACGCUGCUAAGGGUGCAGAGCCACACAUGCGCUCCGAGCUCUGCAUGGGAGACUGAAGCUGACAGAGCUGCAGCAGUUAGCAGGUUUCACCCUCAGAGACCACCAGGGGUUCAUGUUGAGGCAUUUUCAGUUUUUGUUUUUUUUGCCAUAGACACUGUCAGCACAAUCUGCAGUUACACUAACAAAAAUGCUGCAAAAAACAAAGAAUUAUGGAAAAAUUACACAUGGACUGACAUAGAGGAGGAUCUACACAAGUUUUUUACAUCAUGUUUUACAUCAUGCAUCAUUUACAUCAUGUUUUUUUGUAGUGGCAUAAAUAAAAAGUGACAUUUGUGAGACUAUACAGUGUUUUGUAAAUAAUUUUACAAAGAACGCCUGGGCCAUUGCCUGCAUUUUGAUGUAAAUAGAGGUAAAUUACUAUGUUCUUUGUUAAAAAUUUGCAUAUGUUUUGAAGUUUACAAUUUUUAUUUGAAGUUUAAGUUUUAAAAACAGUUCAUCACACAUAUUUGUGGUUUAAUUUCACAUUAAUUUCCAUAUUGUAUAAAUGACUGGAAAAAACUUGAGCCCCUGCCCCUGUAUAAUCAUGUGCACGUCCCUGUUCUAGCUCCAAGGUGAAUCGUCACUGCUCAUGUUCUCCUCAGAAAUAGUCACCUCACUCCCCUCAGGUUACUGUACACAUGCACCAACUAUCUGCUUCAGGUUUGGAUGGAGCUUCAUGGUUGUCUUUUGGAGAAAUGAACAGUCAAGUUGUGUUUGAAAUCUGAUUUUUUUCAGGGGCAAAAGGAAGCCUCUGCAUUCUUGUCAAAUAUGUAAACAGCAUGUUUUUGCAGGUGCUAAAAAACAGACUCUGAGUGUGUGUGUGUGUGUGUGUGUGUGUGUGUGUAUAUGUGUGUGUAUCCUGCAGUACUCUGUACUCCUGCAGUGGCCAAAAAGACUUUUAAGAAUGUGGAUUUUUGGGUCAUCUUUGGCGCCCCCUAGAACUGCAGUACUCUGUACUCCUGCAGUGUCCAAAAUGACUUUUAAGAAUGUGGAUUUUUGGGUCAUCUUUGGCGCCCCCUAGAACGUAAACCGUGGGGUGCAGCGUCAUGAUUUUUACAACUUUGAAUGGCCAUGGGGUGUAGAUUGCCCUGAGCAAAUUUGGUAUCGGUGGGACGAAAGCCUUGGGAGGAGAUAGCCACAUUCCAAUGUGUGCGAAUCGGCAAAAAAUGCGAAAUAGCCCUUUAACCGUACAUUAUACAGAUACGCGCUUUUUGACUUUUUCGUAGAUCUUAUUGAGAUACACGUGUGUGUCAAAUUUUGUGUCAAUAUGACAAAGCGUUCAGGCGUGACACUCAACAAUGUGUAUUUUCAUGUAAGGGGACAAGAAAAAAUUGACUUUUUUCUCCUGCCAUGGGGGGGGCGCUCUUUUGGGGAGUAAAAAUUCCUUCACAAAUGUGUUGAUGGCUGGACAUUGCAUCAUCCUAGAAAACUUGGAGGGCAGUGAGGACAAAAAUAAAAAGUUAUAAGACUUUUAAGAAUGUGGAUUUUGGGUUAUCUUUGGCGCCCCCUAGAACGUAAACCGUGGGGUGCAGCGUCAUGAUUUGUACAACUUUUAAUGGCCAUGGGGGGUAGAUUGGCCAGCGCAAAUGUGGUGCCGGUCGAACGAAAGCCUUCGGAGGAGUUAGCGAAAUUCCAAUGUGUGCAGAUCUGCAAAAAAUGCAAAAUAACCCAUUAACCGUACAUUUGACAGAUACGCCCGCACUGACUUUUUUGUAGAUCUUAUUGAGAUACAUGUGUGUGUCAAUUUUUGUGUCAAUAUGACAAAGCGUACAGCCGUCAUGUGAAUUUUCACCUUAGGGGGCGCUAUGGAGCCAUUUUGCAUUUUAUUGUUUGGGCGACUUCAGAAUAUCGAAUUUUUCACCAGGCCCGGUCGUCCUGCCAAAUUUCCUGAGUUUUCGCCAGUGGGAAGUGGGCCAUUUUCCAGUUUAAAGCGGAGGAAAAAUAAUAACGAAAGAAGGAAACAUGCAGGAACAAGAGGGCUCUCGCAGCUGCUUAGCAGCUACGCUCGGGCCCUAAAGAAAGAAGAAAGAAAAACCCAUACAGGAACAAUAGGGCUCUCGCAGCUGCUUAGCAGCUACGCUCGGGCCCUAAUAACGAAAGAAGAAUCCAUCAGGAACAAGAGGGCUCUCGCAGCUGCUUAGCAGCUACGCUCGGGCCCUAAAUAUAUUUUUGCAGUGUUAAGGCUUCCUUAAGGUAAUACCCGGGUAUUAGGUCACGGGGCUAGGGUAAGGUUUAAGGUUUUUUAUCGUGAGGGUUAAAAUCACUGUCCAAUAUUUUUUAGGAAUAUGUUUAAGACCUUUUGGAGUUAGUAAGACCAAAAAAAUGUAGAAUGAAAAAAAACAAUUUGGGGUUGUAGGGCUUCCUUAAGGUAAUACCCGGGUAUUAGGUUAUGGGGCUAGGGUAAGGUUAAAGGUUUUUGGCGUUAGGGUUAAAAUCACUGUCCAAAACCUUUGUAGGAACAUGUUUCAGACCUUUUGGAGUUAGUUAGACCAAAAAAAACGAAAAAUAAAAAAGAUACUUUGGGGCAUGUAGGGCUUCCUUUAGGUAAUACCCGGAUAUUAGGUUACACGGCUAGGUAAAGUUUAAAGGUUUUUGGCGUUAGGGUUAAAAUCACUGUCCAAAACCUUUGUAGGAUCUCUUUUCCAACCUUUUUGCGUUAGUUUGACAAAAAAAAAAAAAAAAAACGAAAAAUGAAAUAAAAAUUUUUUGGGGUGUGGGUAAGAGAUACAGUGAUAGCCCCCGCAUUCGUCAGUUGACUUGGCGGUUUGGGGUAGGCUGAUCAAGGGCUUGCACUGGCCGGCGCAUGUCGACCUGUCACAUGUUCCCAGUCGAGUCUCUGAGCUCAAUCUGUGUGUAAAAAUUAUGUGUUGGUAGGAAGUUUAAUGACUCAGCUCAAUUGGUAUGCUAUGCUGUCUAUCUUUUAGACUAUGUGUUUGUAGAGCAAUUAUUUUUGGAGGUUCAGUUAGGGAUUAGAGUUGGUAUGGUUAAGUGUGAAAAUAAUAAUAACUAGGGCCCCGGUGGGGCACUGUCGGGCCCGAGCAGCGUCGCGCCGCCCCCAGCGCGACCGCCUCCCCCUCCCGAUCGCGUCACACUCAAGGUCCAAAGAUGGUGUGCGCACUUGUCUGUGGUCAUUUCCCAUUAUAAUGAAUGGGAGACGCAGUUUCUACCAAAACACUCGCUGCAGACAAACUACAUGUCCUAUUUGAAAACAGUCUGGACCAUGAGUGAGGGCACAAACACAGCUAGGAUAUAUCCAAAUGGCAAGUUGCUCCUCGUUACGGUGUUGCCGGGAGAGCGAUGCGAUUGAGCCAUUGAGCGAUGGGCAGGAAAAACUUGACUUUUCCUCCUGCCUUGGGGGGGGGGGGAUUCUUUUAAGAAUGUGGAUAUUUGGGUCAUCUUUGGCGCCCCUUAGAACGUAAACCGUGGGGUGCAGCGUCAUGAUUUUUACAACUUUGAAUGGCCAUGGGAUGUAGAUCUGCUUGAGCAAAUUUGGUGUCGGUGGGACGAAAGCCUUAGGAGGAGUUAGCGAAAUUCCAAUGUGUGCGGAUCGGGAAAAAAUGCGAAAUAGCCCUUUGACUGUACAUUUUACAGAUGCGUGCACAUUGACUUUUUCGUAGAUCUUAUUGAGAUACACGUGUGUGUCAAAUUUUGUGUCAUUUCGACAAAGCGUAUAGGAGUGACACUCAACAAUGUGUUUUUUCACCUUAGGGGACAAGAAAAAAUGGACUUUUUUCUCCUGCCAUGGGGGGGGGGCGCUCUUUUCGAGAGUAAAAAUUCCUUUACAAAUGUGUUGAUGGCUGGACAUUGCAUCAUCCUAGAAAACUUGGAGGCCAGUGAGGACAAAAAUAAAAAGUUAUAAGACUAUUAAGAAUGUGGAUUUUAGGGUUAUGUUUGGCGCCCCCUAGAACCUAAACCGUGGAGUGCAGCAUCAUGAUUUGUACAACUUUGAAUGGCCAUGGGGUGUAGAUUGGCCUGAGCAAAUUUGGUGGCGGUGGAACGAAAGCCUUCGGAGGAGUUAGCGAAAUUCCAAUGUGUGCGGAUCGGGAAAAAAUGCGAAGUAACCCUUUAACCGUACAUUUUACAGAUACGUGCCCAUUGACUUUUUCGUAGAUGUUAUUGAGAUACACGUGAUUGUCAAAUUUUGGGUCAAUAUGACAAAGCGUAUAGGCGUGACACUCAACAAUGUGUAUUUUCACCUUAGGGGACAAGAAAAAAUUGACUUUUUUCUCCUGCCAUGGGGGGCGCUCUUUUGGGGAGUAAAAAUUCCUUCACAAAUGUGUUGUUGGCUGGACAUUGCAUCAUCCUAGAAAACUUGGAGGCCAUUGAGGACAAAAAUACAAAGUUAUAAGACUUUUAAGACUGUGGAUUUUUGGGUUAUCUUUGGCGCCCCCUAGAACGUAAACCGUGGGGUGCAGCGUCAUGAUUUGUACAACUUUUAAUGGCCAUGGGGUGUAGAUUGGCCUGAGCAAAUGUGGUGCCGGUGGAACGAAUGCCUUCGGAGGAGUUAGAGAAAUUCCAAUGUGUGCAGAUCUGCAAAAAAUGCGAAAUAACCCUCUAACCGUACAUUUCACAGAUGCGCCCGCACUGACUUUUUCGUAGACCGUAUUGCGAUACACGUGUGUGUCAAUUUUUGUUUCAACAUGACAAAGCGUACAGGCGUGACAGUCAAUAGUGUGAAUUUUCACCUUAGGGGGCGCUAUGGAGCCAUUUUGCAUUUUAUUGUUUGGGCGACUUCAGAAUAUCGAAUUUUUCACCAGGCCCGGUCGUCCUGCCAAAUUUCAUGAGUUUUCGCCAGUGGGAAGUGGGCCAUUUUCCCCUUCAAAGGGGAGGAAAAAUAAGAAGAAAGAAAGAAAGAACUAGGGCCCCGUUGGGGCACUGGCGGGCCCGAGCCGUGUCACGCCGCCCCCAGCGCGACCGCCUCCCCCACCCGAUCGCGUCACACUCAAGGUCCAAAGAUGGUGUGCGCACUUGUUUGUGGUCAUUUACCAUUAUAAUGAACGGGAGGCGCAGUUUCUACCAAAACGCUCGCUGCAGAAAAACUCCAUGUCCUAUUUGAAAAAAGUCUGGACCAUGAGUGAGGGCACAAACACAGCUAAGAUAUAUCCAAAUGGCAAGUUGCUCCUCCUUUCGCUUUUGCCGAGAGAGCAGUGCGUUUGAGCCAUUGAAUGAUGAACAGGAAAAACUUGACUUUAUUCUCCUGCCAUGGGGGGGCGCUCUUUUAAAGAGAAAAAACUCCUUCACAAAUGUGUUGAUGGCUGGACAUUGCAUCAUCCUAGAAAACAUGGAGGCCAGUGAGGACAAAAAUAAAAAGUUAUAAGACUUUUAAAUAUGUGGAUUUUAGGGUUAUAUUUGGCGCCCCCUAGAACCUAAACCGUGGGGUGCAGCGUCAUGAUUUGAAUAACUUUUAAUGGCCAUGGGGUGUAGAUUGGCCUGAGCAAAUGUGGUGCCGGUGGAACGAAAGCCUUCGGAGGAAUUAGCGAAAUUCCAAUGUGUGCGAAUCUGCAAAAAAUGCGAAAUAACCCUUUAACUGUACAUUUUACAGAUACGUGGCCAUUGACUUUUUCGAAGAUCUUAUUGAAAUACACGUGUAUGUAAAAUUUUGUGUCAAUACGACAAAACAUACAGGCGUAGCACUCAACAAUGUGUAUUUUCACCUUAGUGGACAAGAAAAAAUUGACUUUUUUCUCCUGCCAUGGGGGGGCGCUCUUUUGGGGAGUAAAAAUUCCUUCACAAAUGUGUUGAUGGCUGGACAUUGCAUCAUCCUAGAAAACUUGGAGGCCAGUGGGGACAAAAAUAAAAAGUUAUAAGACUUUUAAAUAUGUGGAUUUUAGGGUUAUCUUUGGCGCCCCCUAGAACCUAAACCGUGGGGUGCAGCGUCAUGAUUUGAAUAACUUUUAAUGGCCAUGGGGUGUAGAUUGGCCUGAGCAAAUGUGGUGCCGGUGGAACGAAAGCCUUCGGAGGAGUUAGCGAAAUUCCAAUGUGUGCGGAUCGGCAAAAAAUGCGGAAUAACCCUUUAACCGUACAUUUGACAGAUACGCGCGCAUUGACUUUUUCGUAGAUCUUAUUGAGAUACAUGUGUGUGUCAAUUUUUGUGUCAUUUUGCCAAAGCGUACAGGUGUUACACUCAACAAUGUGUAUUUUCACCUUAGGGGACAAGAAAAAAUGGACUUUUUUCUCCUGCCAUGGGGGGGCGCUCUUUUGGGGAGUAAAAAUUCCUUCACAAAUGUGUUGAUGGCUGGACAUUGCAUCAUCCUAGAAAACUUGGAGGCCAGUGAGGGCAAAAAUAAAAAGUUAUAAGACUUUUAAAUAUGUGGAUCUUAGGGUUAUCUUUGGCGCCCCCUAGAACCUAAACCGUGGGGUGCAGCGUCAUGAUUUGAAUAACUUUUAAUGGCCAUGGGGUGUAGAUUGGCCUGAGCAAAUGUGGUGCCGGUGGAACGAAAGCCUUCGGAGGAGUUAGCGAAAUUCCAAUGUGUGCGGAUCGGAAAAAAAUGCGAAAUAACCCUUUAACCGUACAUUUGACAGAUACGCCCGCACUGACUUUUUUGUAGAUCUUAUUGAGAUACAUGUGUGUGUCAAUUUUUGUGUCAUUUUGACAAAGCGUACAGGCGUGACAGUGAAUAGUGUGAAUUUUCACCUUAGGGGGCGCUAUGGAGCCAUUUUGCAUUUUCUUGUUUGGGCGACUUCGGAAUAUCAAAUUUUUCACCAGGCCCGGUCGUCCUGCCAAAUUUCAUGAGUUUUCGCCAGUGGGAAGUGGGCCAUUUUCCAGUUCAAAGGGGAGGAAAAAUAAUAACUAGGACCCCGUUGGGGCACUGGCGGGCCCGAGCCGUGUCGCGUCCCCCCCCCCCACCCCCACCCCCCAACGUGCUGCCUUCCCGUCCCAUUUGUGUCCUCUGGCCAUCGCCCUCUCUGGUAACGCCCAUCACUGCAAAGACCCUUUUCCUUCAUCGGCGUUUGCUGUUCUUCCUGCCAGUGCGUGUUGCUUUCACUUACACUUGCCACAGCCAGCCUCGUGAGUGCCUAGCCUAUUGGAUAUCACUGUCACCUACACAGGACAGUCAUUACCUUUCUAUUAAUACUUUGUGUUUUAAUUUCACAUUAAUUUCCAUAUUGUUUAAACGACUGGAAAAAACUUGAGCCCCUGCCCCUGUAUAAUCAUGUGCAUGUCUCUGUUCUAGCUCCAAGGUGAAUCUUCACUGCUCAUGUUCUCCUCAGAAGCACUCACCUCACUCCCCUCAGGUUACUGUACACAUGCACCAACUGCCUGCUUCAGGUUUGGAUGGAGCUUCAUGGUUGUCUUUUGGAGAAAUGACCAGUCAAGUUGUGUUUGAAAUUUGAUUUUUUUCAGGGGCAAAAGGAGCCUCUGCAUUCUUGUCAAAUAUGUAAAUAGCAUGUUUUUGCAGGUGCUAAAAACCAGACUCUGAGUGUGUGUGUGUGUGUGUGUGUGUGCGUGUGUGUGUGUCUGUGUGUGCGUUCAAGUCACAUGACAUAUUUAACCGGAUGUAGCUGCAAGACGGAGCCUCGUUGACUCUCCGUUUCAACUUAUCUCAAAAGUGAGGACCGCAACCUAUAUACCAGUUUUUAAAUUGUGUUGAUAGGCCAAAUAAAACCAGAGUUAUGAUAAAUUAUGUCCGCGAUACUUUUUUUCUGCUUAUUUUGAUCACGUUCGGCGCUCGAUCGCGCUGUAUGAGACAGGAAAACAUAGCAUGCAGACAUUAGCGACAGGUCUUACAGGCGGAAAAGGCUUGCCAAAAAAAAAAAAAACACACCACAACAUCUCUCCUAUUGGUGGAAAACUUCACCACAACAACCAAUCCAAAAUUAUAUGGUGACUGAUUGACAAGGGGCGGGCGCUUACGUUCUUCCUGCAACAUGAGAAGGGAGGGAGGGACUCUCAGCAGGGAUGCAGUCUGGGACACGUAGUUGCAAACCUAGCGACUUUGUUGUUAGAUUCAAUGACUUUUCAGACACCCUAACGACUUUUUUUUAGAAAGAAAGGGACUUUUAUCGACUUCUUCUGGAGUUUAGAGACUCUGACAUGAAGCAGGCUUUCCUUACUGAGGAGUUAGCAACGCGGCUAAGGGUGCAGAGCCACACAUGCGCUCAGAGCUCUGCAUGGGAGACUGAAGCUGACAGAGCUGCAGCAGUUAGCAGGUUUCACCCUCAGAGACCACCAGGGGUUCAUGUUGAGGCAUUUUAAUUUUUUUUUUUUUUUUGUGCCAUAGACACUGUCAGCACAAUCUGCAGUUACACUAACAAAAAUGCUGCAAAAAACAAAGAAUUAUGGAAAAAUUACACAUGGACUGACAUAGAGGAGGAUCUACACAAGUUUUUUACAUCAUGUUUUACAUCAUGCAUCAUUUACAUCAUGUUUUUUUGUAGUGGCAUAAAUAAAAAGUGACAUUUGUGAGACUAUACAGUGUUUUGUAAAUAAUUUUACAAAGAACGCCUGGGCCAUUGCCUGCAUUUUGAUGUAAAUAGAGGUAAAUUACUAUGUUCUUUGUUAAAAAUUUGCAUAUGUUUUGAAGUUUACAAUUUUUAUUUGAAGUUUAAGUUUUAAAAACAGUUUAUCACACAUAUUUGUGGUUUAAUUUCACAUUAAUUUCCAUAUUGUAUAAAUGACUGGAAAAAACUUGAGCCCCUGCCCCUGUAUAAUCAUGUGCACGUCCCUGUUCUAGCUCCAAGGUGAAUCUUCACUGCUCAUGUUCUCCUCAGAAAUAGUCACCUCACUCCCCUCAGGUUACUGUACACAUGCACCAACUAUCUGCUUCAGGUUUGGAUGGAGCUUCAUGGUUGUCUUUUGGAGAAAUGAACAGUCAAGUUGUGUUUGAAAUUUGAUUUUUUUCAGGGGCAAAAGGAAGCCUCUGCAUUCUUGUCAAAUAUGUAAACAGCAUGUUUUUGCAGGUGCUAAAAAACAGACUCUGAGUGUGUGUGUGUGUCUGUGUGUGUGUGUGUGUGUGUGUGUGUGUGUGUAUGUUGGCGUGUGUGUAUAUGUGUGUGUAUCCUGCAGUACUCUGUACUCCUGCAGUGGCCAAAAAGACUUUUAAGAAUGUGGAUUUUUGGGUCAUCUUUGGCGCCCCCUAGAACUGCAGUACUCUGUACUCCUGCAGUGGCCAAAAUGACUUUUAAGAAUGUGGAUUUUUGGGUCAUUUUUGGCGCCCCCUAGAACGUAAACCGUGGGGUGCAGCGUCAUGAUUUUUACAACUUUGAAUGGGCAUGGGGUGUAGAUUGCCCUGAGCAAAUUUGGUAUCGGUGGGACGAAAGCCUUAGGAGGAGAUAGCCACAUUCCAAUGUGUGCGAAUCGGCAAAAAAUGCAAAAUAGCCCUUUAACCGUACAUUAUACAGAUACGCGCUCUUUGACUUUUUCGUAGAUCUAAUUGAGAUACACAUGAUUGUCCAUUUUUGUGUCAAUAUGACAAAGCGUUCAGGCGUGACACUCAACAAUGUGUAUUUUUAUGUAAGGGGACAAGAAAAAAUUGACUUUUUUCUCCUACCAUGGGGGGGCGCUCUUUUGGGGAGUAAAAAUUCCUUCACAAAUGUGUUGAUGGCUGGACAUUGCAUCAUCCUAGAAAACUUGGAGGCCAGUGAGGACAAAAAUAAAAAGUUAUAAAACAUUUAAGAAUGUGGAUUUUUGGGUUAUUUUUGGCGCCCCCUAGAACCUAAACCAUGGGGUGCAGCAUCAUGAUUUGAAUAACUUUUAAUGGCCAUGGGGUGUAGAUUGGCCUGAGCAAAUGUGGUGCCGGUGGAACGAAAGCCUUCGGAGGAGUUAGCGAAAUUCCAAUGUGUGCGUAUCGGCAAAAAAUGCGGAAUAACCCUUUAACUGUACAUUUGACAGAUACGCGCGCAUGGACUUUUUUGUAGAUCUUAUUGAGUUACAUGUGUGUGUCAAUUUUUGUGUCAUUUUGACAAAGCGUAUAGGCGUGACACUCAACAAUGUGUAUUUUCACCUUAGGGGACAAGAAAAAAUGGACUUUUUUCUCCUGCCAUGGGGGGGCGCUCUUUUGGGGAGUAAAAAUUCCUUCACAAAUGUGUUGAUGGCUGGACAUUGCAUCAUCCUAGAAAACUUGGAGGCCAGUGAGGACAAAAAUAAAAAGUUAUAAGACUUUUAAAUAUGUGGAUUUUAGUGUUAUCUUUGGCGCCCCCUAGAACCUAAACCUUGGGGUGCAGCGUCAUGAUUUUGAUAACUUUUAAUGGCCACGGGGUGUAGAUUGGCCUGAGCAAAUGUGGUGCCGGUGGAACGAAAGCCUUCGGAGGAGUUAGCGAAAUUCCAAUGUGUGCGGAUCGGCAAAAAAUGCGAAAUAACCCUUUAACCGUAAUUUUGACAGAUACGGCCGCACUGACUUUUUUGUAGAUCUUAUUGAGAUACAUAUGUGUGUCAAUUUUUGUGUCAAUAUGACAAAGCGUACAGGCGUGACAGUCAAUAGUGUGAAUUUCCACCUUAGGGGGCGCUAUGGAGCCAUUUUGCAUUUUAUUGUUUGGGCGACUUCAGAAUAUCGAAUUUUUCACCAGGCCCGGUCGUCCUGCCAAAUUUCAUGAGUUUUCGCCAGUGGGAAGUGGGCCAUUUUCCAGUUCAAAGGGGAGGAAAAAGAAGAAAGAAAGAAAGAAAGAAAGAAACAAAGAAAAACCACUUGGGGAAUAAUAGGGCCUACGCCCGGCUGCUCUGCAGCUGGCUCGGGCCCUAAUAACAAAAGAAGGAAACUACAGGAACAAGAGGGCUCUCGCAGCUGCUUAGCAGCUACGCUCGGGCCCUAAAGAAAGAACUAGGGCCCCGGUGGGGCACUGUCGGGCCCGAGCCGCGUCGCGCCGCCCCCAGCGCGACCGCCUCCCCCUCCCGAUCGCGUCACACUCAAGGUCCAAAGAUGGUGUGCGCACUUGUCUGUGGUCAUUUCCCAUUAUAAUGAAUGGGAGGCGCAGUUUCUACCAAAACACUCGCUACAGACAAACUACAUGUCCUAUUUGAAAAAAGUCUGAUCCAUGAGUGAGGGCACAAACACAGCUAGGAUAUAUCCAAACGGCAAGUUGCUCCUCGUUACGGUGUUGCCGGGAGAGCGAUGCGAUUGAGCCAUUGAGUGAUGGGCAGGAAAAACUUGACUGUUUCUCCUGCCAUGGGGGAUGGGGGAUGGGGGAUGGGGGGGGGGGGGGAAAUGUGGAUUCUUUUAAGAAUGUGGAUAUUUGGGUCAUCUUUGGCGCCCCCUAGAACGUAAACCGUGGGGUGCAGCGUCAUGAUUUUUACAACUUUGAAUGGCCAUGGGGUGUAGAUUGGCCUGAGCAAAUUUGGUGUCAGUGGGACGAAAGCCUUAGGAGGAGUUAGCCACAUUCCAAUGUGUGCGAAUCGGCAAAAAAUGCAAAAUAGCCCUUUAACCGUACAUUUUACAGAUACGCGCGCAUUGACUUUUUCGUAGAUCUUAUUGAGAUACAUGUGAUUCUCAAAUUUUGUGUCAAUAUGACAAAGCGUACAGGUAUGACAGUCAACAAUGUGUAUUCUCACCUUAUGGGACAAGAAAAAAUGGACUUUUUUCUCCUGCCAUGGGGGGGCGCUCUUUUGGGGAGUAAAAAUUCCUUCACAAAUGUGUUGAUGGCUGGACAUUGCAUCAUCCUAGAAAACUUGGAGGCCAGUGAGGACAAAAAUAAAAAGUUAUAAGACUUUUAAAUAUGUGGAUUUUAGGGUUAUCUUUGGCGCCCCCUAGAACGUAAACCGUGGGGUGCAGCGUCAUGAUUUGAAUAACUUUGAAUGGCCAUGGGGUGUAGAUUGGCCUGAGCAAAUGUGGUGCCAGUGGAACGAAAGCCUUAGGAGGAGUUAGCCACAUUCCACUGUGUGCGGAUCGGCAAAAAAUGCGGAAUAACCCUUUAACCGUACAUUUGACAGAUACGCACGCAUUGACUUUUUCGUAGAUCUUAUUAAGAUACAUGUGUGUGUCAAUUUUUGUGUCAUUUUGACAAAGCGUACAGGCGUGACACUCAACAAUGUGUAUUUUCACCUUAGGGGACAAGAAAAAAUGGACUUUUUUCUCCUGCCAUGGGGGGGCGCUCUUUUGGGGAGUAAAAAUUCCUUCACAAAUGUGUUGAUGGCUGGACAUUGCAUCAUCCUAAAAAACUUGGAGGCCGGUGAGGGCAAAAAUAAAAAGUUAUAAGACUUUUAAAUAUGUGGAUUUUAGGGUUAUCUUUGGCGCCACCUAGAACCUAAACCGUGGGGUGCAGCGUCAUGAUUUGAAUAACUUUUAAUGGCCAUGGGGUGUAGAUUGGCCUGAGCAAAUGUGGUGCCGGUGGAACGAAAGCCUUCGGAGGAGUUAGCGAAAUUCCAAUGUGUGCGGAUCGGCAAAAAAUGCGAAAUAACCCUUUAACCGUAAAUUUGACAGAUACGCCCGCACUGACUUUUUUGUAGAUCUUAUUGAGAUACAUGUGUGUGUCAAUUUUUGUGUCAUUUUGACAAAGCGUACAGGCGUGACAGUCAAUAGUGUGAAUUUUCACCUUAGGGGGCGCUAUGGAGCCAUUUUGCAUUUUAUUGUUUGGGCGACUUCAGAAUAUCAAAUUUUUCACCAGGCCCGGUCGUCCUGCCAAAUUUCAUGAGUUUUCGCCAGUGGGAAGUGGGCCAUUUUCCAGUUCAAAGGGGAGGAAAAAUAAUAACUAGGACCCCGUUGGGGCACUGGCGGGCCCAACCGUGUCGCGUCCCCCCCCCCCGUCCCCCCCCCCCCCCAACGUGCUGCCUUCCCGUCCCAUUUGUGUCCUCUGGCCAUCGCCCUCUCUGGUAACGCCCAUCACUGCAAAGACCCUUUUCCUUCAUCGGCGUUUGCUGUUCUUCCUGCCAGUGCGUGUUGCUUUCACUUACACUUGCCACAGCCAGCCUCGUGAGUGCCUAGCCUAUUGGAUAUCACUGUCACCUACACAGGACAGUCAUUACCUUUCUAUUAAUACUUUGUGUUUUAAUUUCACAUUAAUUUCCAUAUUGUAUAAACGACUGGAAAAAACUUGAGCCCCUGCCCCUGUAUAAUCAUGUGCAUGUCUCUGUUCUAGCUCCAAGGUGAAUCUUCACUGCUCAUGUUCUCCUCAGAAGCACUCACCUCACUCCCCUCAGGUUACUGUACACAUGCACCAACUGCCUGCUUCAGGUUUGGAUGGAGCUUCAUGGUUGUCUUUUGGAGAAAUGACCAGUCAAGUUGUGUUUGAAAUUUGAUUUUUUUCAGGGGCAAAAGGAGCCUCUGCAUUCUUGUCAAAUAUGUAAAUAGCAUGUUUUUGCAGGUGCUAAAAACCAGACUCUGAGUGUGUGUGUGUGUGUGUGUGUGUGUGCGUGUGUGUGUGUGUGUGCGUUCAAGUCACAUGACAUAUUUAACCGGAUGUAGCUGCAAGACGGAGCCUCGUUGACUCUCCGUUUCAACUUAUCUCAAAAGUGAGGACCUCAACCUAUAUACCAGUUUUUAAAUUGUGUUGAUAGGCCAAAUAAAACCAGAGUUAUGAUAAAUUAUGUCCGCGAUACUUUUUUUCUGCUUAUUUUGAUCACGUUCGGCGCUCGAUCGCGCUGUAUGAGACAGGAAAACAUAGCAUGCAGACAUUAGCGACAGGUCUUACAGGCGGAAAAGGCUUGCCAAAAGAAAAAAAAAACACACCACAACAUCUCUCCUAUUGGUGGAAAACUUCACCACAACAACCAAUCCAAAAUUAUAUGGUGACUGAUUGACAAGGGGAGGGCGCUUACGUUCUUCCUGCAACAUGAGAAGGGAGGGAGGGACUCUCAGCAGGGAUGCAGUCUGGGACACGUAGUUGCAAACCUAGCGACUUUGUUGUUAGAUUCAAUGACUUUUCAGACCCCCUAACGACUUUUUUUUAGAAAGAAAGGGACUUUUAUCGACUUCUUCUGGAGUUUAGAGACUCUGACAUGAAGCAGGCUUUCCUUACUGAGGAGUUAGCAACGCUGCUAAGGGUGCAGAGCCACACAUGCGCUCAGAGCUCUGCAUGGGAGACUGAAGCUGACAGAGCUGCAGCAGUUAGCAGGUUUCACCCUCAGAGACCACCAGGGGUUCAUGUUGAGGCAUUUUAAUUUUUUUUUUUUUUGUGCCAUAGACACUGUCAGCACAAUCUGCAGUUACACUAACAAAAAUGCUGCAAAAAACAAAGAAUUAUGGAAAAAUUACACAUGGACUGACAUAGAGGAGGAUCUACACAAGUUUUUUACAUCAUGUUUUACAUCAUGCAUCAUUUACAUCAUGUUUUUUUGUAGUGGCAUAAAUAAAAAGUGACAUUUGUGAGACUAUACAGUGUUUUGUAAAUAAUUUUACAAAGAACGCCUGGGCCAUUGCCUGCAUUUUGAUGUAAAUAGAGGUAAAUCACUAUGUUCUUUGUUAAAAAUUUGCAUAUGUUUUGAAGUUUACAAUUUUUAUUUGAAGUUUAAGUUUUAAAAACAGUUCAUCACACAUAUUUGUGGUUUUCACAGUAAAAAUGUUACUUUUUUCCACUCGGAUUUUAUGUUUUGUGUGUGAAUUUGGGUCCAUUGUGUAAAUUCAGUAUGUCAACAUGAUAAAAUAACUGUAAAUUCGCACAGGUGAGGUUGUGCUGAAAAAAAUGAUACCAGGCAAGGCACGUGAUUGUCAAAUUUUGUGUCAAUAUGACAAAGCGUAUAGGCGUGAAUCUCAACAAUAUGUAUUUUCACCUUAGGGGACAAGAAAAAAUGGACUUUUUUCUCCUGCCAUGGGGGGGCGCUCUUUUGGGGAGUAAAAAUUCCUUCACAAAUGUGUUGAUGGCUGGACAUUGCAUCAUCCUAGAAAACUUGGAGGCCAGUGAGGACAAAAAUAAAAAGUUAUAAGACUUUUAAAUAUGUGGAUUUUAGGGUUAUCUUUGGCGCCCCCUAGAUCCUAAACCGUGGGGUGCAGCGUCAUGAUUUUGAUAACUUUUAAUGGCCAUGGGGUGUAGAUUGGCCUGAGCAAAUGUGGUGCCGGUGGAACGAAAGCCUUAGGAGGAGUUAGCCACAUUCCAAUGUGUGCGGAUCGGCAAAAAAUGCGGAAUAACCCUUUAACCGUACAUUUGACAGAUACGCGCGCAUUGACUUUUUCGUAGAUCUUAUUGAGUUACAUGUGUGUGUCAAUUUUUGUGUCAUUUUGACAAAGCGUAUAGGCGUGACACUCAACAAUGUGUAUUUUCACCUUAGGGGACAAGAAAAAAUGGACUUUUUUCUCCUGCCAUGGGGGGGCGCUCUUUUGGGGAGUAAAAAUUCCUUCACAAAUGUGUUGAUGGCUGGACAUUGCAUCAUCCUAGAAAACUUGGAGGCCAGUGAGGACAAAAAUAAAAAGUUAUAAGACUUUUAAAUAUGUGGAUUUUAGUGUUAUCUUUGGCGCCCCCUAGAACCUAAACCUUGGGGUGCAGCGUCAUGAUUUUGAUAACUUUUAAUGGCCACGGGGUGUAGAUUGGCCUGAGCAAAUGUGGUGCCGGUGGAACGAAAGCCUUCGGAGGAGUUAGCGAAAUUCCAAUGUGUGCGGAUCGGCAAAAAAUGCGAAAUAACCCUUUAACCGUAAUUUUGACAGAUACGGCCGCACUGACUUUUUUGUAGAUCUUAUUGAGAUACAUGUGUGUGUCAAUUUUUGUGUCAUUUUGACAAAGCGUACAGUCGUGACAGUGAAUAGUGUGAAUUUUCACCUUAGGGGGCGCUAUGGAGCCAUUUUGCAUUUUAUUGUUUUGGCGACUUCAGAAUAUCAAAUUUUUAACCAGGCCCGGUCGUCCUGCCAAAUUUCAUGAGUUUUCGCCAGUGGGAAGUGGGCCAUUUUCCAGUUCAAAGGGGAGGAAAAAGAAAAAAGAAAGAAAGAAACAAAGACUAGGGCCCCGUUGGGGCACUGGCGGGCCCGAGCCGUGUCGCGCUGCCCCCCCCAACGCGCUGCCUCCCCGUCCCAUUCGCAUCCUCUGGCCAUCGUCCUCUCUGGUAACGCCCAUCACUGCAAAGACCCUUUCCUUCAUCGGCGUUUGCUGUUCUUCCUGCCAGUGCGUGUUGCUUUCACUUACACUUGCCACAGCCAGCCUCGUGAGUGCCUAGCCUAUUGGAUAUCACUGUCAUCUACACAGGACAGUCAUAACCUUUCUAUUAAUACUUUGUUUUUUAAUUUCACAUUAAUUUCCAUAUUGUAUAAAUGACUGGAAAAAACUUGAGCCCCUGCCCCUGUAUAAUCAUGUGCACGUCCCUGUUCUAGCUCCAAGGUGAAUCUUCACUGCUCAUGUUCUUCUCAGAAAUAGUCACCUCACUCCCCUCAGGUUACUGUACACAUGCACCAACUAUCUGCUUCAGGUUUGGAUGGAGCUUCAUGGUUGUCUUUUGGAGAAAUGAACAGUCAAGUUGUGUUUGAAAUUUGAUUUUUUUCAGGGGCAAAAGGAAGCCUCUGCAUUCUUGUCAAAUAUGUAAACAGCAUGUUUUUGCAGGUGCUAAAAAACAGACUCUGAGUGAGUGUGUGUGUGUGUGUGUGUGUGUGUGUGUGUGUUGGCGUGUGUGUAUAUGUGUGUGUAUCCUGCAGUACUCUGUACUCCUGCAGUGGCCAAAAAGACUUUUAAGAAUGUGGAUUUUUGGGUCAUCUUUGGCGCCCCCUAGAACUGCAGUACUCUGUACUCCUGCAGUGGCCAAAAUGACUUUUAAGAAUGUGGAUUUUUGGGUCAUCUUUGGCGCCCCCUAGAACGUAAACCGUGGGGUGCAGCGUCAUGAUUUUUACAACUUUGAAUGGGCAUGGGGUGUAGAUUGCCCUGAGCAAAUUUGGUAUCAGUGGGACGAAAGCCUUAGGAGGAGAUAGCCACAUUCCAAUGUGUGCGAAUCGGCAAAAAAUGCGAAAUAGCCCUUUAACCGUACAUUAUACAGAUACGCGCUCUUUGACUUUUUCGUAGAUCUAAUUGAGAUACACAUGAUUGUCAAUUUUUGUGUCAAUAUGACAAAGCGUUCAGGCGUGACACUCAACAAUGUGUAUUUUCAUGUAAGGGGACAAGAAAAAAUUGACUUUUUUCUCCUGCCAUGGGGGGGCGCUCUUUUGGGGA